GACGAACGCUGGCGGCGUGCUUAACACAUGCAAGUCGAACGGAAAGGCCCUGCUUUUGUGGGGUGCUCGAGUGGCGAACGGGUGAGUAACACGUGAGUAACCUGCCCUUGACUUUGGGAUAACUUCAGGAAACUGGGGCUAAUACCGGAUAGGAGCUCCUGCUGCAUGGUGGGGGUUGGAAAGUUUCGGCGGUUGGGGAUGGACUCGCGGCUUAUCAGCUUGUUGGUGGGGUAGUGGCUUACCAAGGCUUUGACGGGUAGCCGGCCUGAGAGGGUGACCGGCCACAUGGGGACGGAGAUACGGCCGGGCCCCCUAGGGGAGGAAGAGGUGGGAAAUAUGGCAAAAGGGGGGGAGGCCGGAUGCAGCAACCCCGGGGGGGGGAUGACGGCCUUGGGUUUGAAACCCGCUUUCGCCGGGGACGAAGGGUGAGGGAGGGUAAGGGGUAAAGAAGCCCCGGCUAACUACGUG
rnacentral:rRNA from 1 species